rnacentral:rRNA from 1 species
CCUACGGGGGGCAGCAGUAGGGAAUUUUGCGCAAUGGGCGAAAGCCUGACGCAGCAACGCCGCGUGAUCGAGACGCCCUUCGGGGUGUAAAGAUCUGUCAGUGGGGACGAAACUUGACGGUACCCACAGAGGAAGCACCGGCUAACUCCGUGCCAGCAGCCGCGGUAAUACGGGGGGUGCAAGCGUUGUCCGGAUUUAUUGGGCGUAAAGAGUUCGUAGGGGGCACGGAAAGUCUGGUGUGAAAGGCCGAGGCUCAACUUCUGUACGGCACUGGAUACUUGCGGGCUAGAGUGCGGUAGAGGUAAAGGGAAUUCCUGGUGUAGCGGUGAAAUGCGUAGAUAUCAGGAGGAACAUCGGUGGCGAAGGCGCUUUACUGGGCCGUAAUUGACGCUGAGGAACGAAAGCGAGGGUAGCAAAUGGGAUUAGAUACCCUUGUAGUC